rnacentral:rRNA from 1 species
GUAGGGGGCAAGCGUUGUCCGGAAUUAUUGGGCGUAAAGCGCGCGCAGGCGGUCUCUUAAGUCUGAUGUGAAAGCCCACGGCUCAACCGUGGAGGGUCAUUGGAAACUGGGAGACUUGAGUGCAGGAGAGGAAAGUGGAAUUCCACGUGUAGCGGUGAAAUGCGUAGAUAUGUGGAGGAACACCAGUGGCGAAGGCGACUUUCUGGCCUACAACUGACGCUGAGGCGCGAAAGCGUGGGGAGCAAACAGGAUUAGAUACCCUGGUAGUCCACGCUGUAAACGAUGAGUGCUAGGUGUUAGGGGUUUCGAUGCCCUUAGUGCCGAAGUUAACACAUUAAGCACUCCGCCUGGGAGUACGGCCGCAAGGCUG